GCUCGAAUUACACGGUAGUAUAAUUCAACUGCAUUUGUUUAUUAGCCAUUUUAUUUCCUUGUACGGCCUAGGACUCUUCAUAACCAAGGCGAACCCGUUUUAGUCCAGUUGCGUUCGUGGAUGCCACACGAUACAUACAUUAAUUGAGAGUCUUCCCGUUUAGUGUUAUAUAGUUUAUGAUAUUUCGUUUGAUAGCUCUACUCCAGGAACAGCUAUGAAUCAAGGAAAGGUUUUAUUAAUAGUAACUUUACUGGUUCUGGUGGCCGUAGUGUAUCCGUUCGGAACAUCCCCUUGUCACACCGCGGGAGGCCAAUGUUACUGGUCGGGAACCAUGUGGUGCCGAGGAGAUGUGGCCAAAUUGAGCUGUGGAGAAAAAUUUCCGCCACUGCCCGACAAUCCGUACGACCUGGGCUAUGGGUGUUGUAUGGGGAAACCGAUGCCGUAUCUUUUCAAGUAGAAGAUACCAGAAGGGAUCAAAGUCAAUGGCAAAGAUUGGGAAGACAUUUUGUCAUUUUAAUGAGGACGUACCGUGCUUUUCAUUUAUGUUUAUGUAUGUUGUGAAAUACGCAAAACAGGACACUGAUAUUAAUAAUUUUACGUAAUCAUGACCAGAACACACUCUUUUUGUCAAUCGUUGUCCACAUUUUGGUGUUAUUUUAACAAUAUAUCUGAAUACAACCGUUUCGCGUCGUUUUCUGAAAUUUAACAUUUGAGUAAUUUACAGCGUCAAGUGAUUCAGAGACAAUUUCGGAAAUGUCAUCCACUCAGGAAAUAGGAUAUAUUAUCAAUUGGUACGAUAGUAUUUGAAAAUUGAUCAAAGCCAAGCAUUUGAUGAGUCAGUGAAUUAACUUAUUAUACAAUGAUUCUCAGUGGGAACUGACCAAACCUCUGAAUACGUGGAACCUAUUCUGUAUGUGUGCGAGUGUCCAAUAAGUUCACAUGACGUUGUACGUUUUGCAAAUGUUUUAAUUUGGAGACCUAAGUCUCGAUCUACAUGUAGGUACACUAUACUUUAUCUAGAUUUGAUGUCGCAUGGACCGCACUUCUAACACGGUUCAUGUGCUGACGUAGAUAACUGAAUGGUUUCCUUAGAACUCAAGUCAGCAAGCAAGGACAUCAGUUCUGUGAUUCACUCUUAUUCUCUAUCGAGCAUUGUAACCCCUAUAUUUAGAACAACACAUAAAAAUAAAAUGAGGAGGAUCUGCGAAAGGAU